rnacentral:rRNA from 1 species
AUGAUGGUCAUGUUUAGAAGAUCUAGGCAAGAAAAACCAAGGAUAACCUUGGGCAGCAUGGCCGAUCGUGCCAUAUCUAGAGAGUCAAAUUUGAGAUACGUUUAUCACUCUAGUGACAUAAAUUGUUCAAAUCAACUCAGAAUGAGAAAAUCUCCAUUUUUCCGUUUGUGUGCUAUAUUUAGAGAAAGAAAUUUGUUGUUGGAUAGCAUCCAUACUACUAUCGAGGAAGAAGUUCUCAUGUUUCUUUACAUGGUUGGCCAUAACCAAAGCUAUAAGACACUACGACCUAUCUUUAGAAGAUCUAUCGAAGUUAUUAGUAGGUAUUUUAAGGCAGUGCUUUAUGCUGCUGGGGAGUUGAGAGAUGAGAUGAUCCGGCCUCCCUCCAACCAUUGCCAUCAUAAAAUACGAGAAAGAACCCGCUUCAAUCCAUAUUUCAAGGUAAAUGUUUUAUUCAAACAAAGACAAUAA